rnacentral:tRNA from 1 species
AGGAAGUAGUAUAAUGGAAGUACUAAGG